rnacentral:rRNA from 1 species
AUUGAACGCUGGCGGCAAGCCUAACACAUGCAAGUCGAACGAGAGGCGGACGGGUGAGUAAUGUCUGGGAAACUGCCUGACGGAGGGGGAUAACUACUGGAAACGGUAGCUAAUACCGCAUACCAUCUGUUGUGCCCAGAUGGGAUUAGCUAGGAGGUGGGGGAAAGGCUCACCUAGGCGACGAUCCCUAGCUGGGCUGAGAGGAUGACUAGCCACACUGGAACUGGGACACGGUCCAGACUCCUACGGGAGGCAGCAGUGGGGAAUAUUGCACAAGGGGCGCAAGCCUGAGGCAGCCAUGCCGCGUGUAUGAAGAAGGCCUUCGUGUUGUAAAGUACUUUCAGCGGGGAGGCGUUACCCGCAGAAGAAGCACCGGCUAACUCCGUGCCAGCAGCCGCGGUAAUAC